rnacentral:rRNA from 1 species
GACGAACGCUGGCGGCGUGCUUAACACAUGCAAGUCGAACGGAAAGGCCCCUUUGGGGGUACUCGAGUGGCGAACGGGUGAGUAACACGUGAGUAACCUGCCCUUGACUUCGGGAUAACUUCAGGAAACUGGGGCUAAUACCGGAUAGGAAUCCUUGCUGCAUGGUGGGGGUUGGAAAGCUUCGGCGGUUUUGGAUGGACUCGCGGCUUAUCAGCUUGUUGGUGGGGUAGUGGCUUACCCAGGCUUUGACGGGUAGCCGGCCUGAGAGGGUGACCGGCCACAUUGGGACUGAGAUACGGCACAGACUCCGAAGGGAGGCAGCAGUGGGGAAUAUUGCACAAUGGGCGGAGGCCUGAUGAAGCAAGGCCGCGGGCGGGAUGACGGCCUUCGCGUUGUAAACCGCUUUCAGCAGGGGAGAAGCUUGUGGUGACGGUACCUGCAGAAGAAGCACCGGCUAACUACGUG